AGUUAAAAAGAGGAGAUAGUGGCCUAUAUAAAGAAAACUAUACUCAACUUUCAAUGGGCUUUUUCUGUUAUCUGUUAUCCCUCUGGCGUCUGAAAGAAAAACAAAGUAUGGAUUAGUAAAUUAGUUAAAUAGAGGGGAUAGGGGCCUAUACAAAGAAAACUAUACUCAACUUUCAAUGGGCUUCUUCUGUUAUCUGUUGUCCCUCCGGCGUCUGAAAGAAAAACAAAGAGUAUGGAUUAGUAAAUUAGUUAAAAAGUGGGGAUAGGGGCCUAUAUAAAGAAAACUAUACUCAACUUUCAAUGGGCUUCUUCUGUUAUCUGUCGUCCCUCUGGCUUCUGAAAGAAAAACAAAGAGUAUGGAUUAGUAAAUUAGUUAAAAAGAGGGGAUAGGGGCCUAUAUAAAGAAAACUAUACUCAACUUUCAAUGGGCUUCUUCUGUUAUCUGUCGUCCCUCUGGCUUCUGAAAGAAAAACAAAGAGUAUGGAUUAGUAAAUUAGUUAAAAAGAGGGGAUAGGGGCCUAUAUAAAGAAAACUAUACUCAACUUUCAAUGGGCUUCUUCUGUUAUCUGUCAUCCCUCUGGCUCCUGAAAGAAAAACAAAGAGUAUGGAUUAGUAAAUUAGUUAAAAAGAGGAGAUAGGGGCCUAUAUAAAGAAAACUAUACUCAACUUUCAAUGGGCUUCUUCUGUUAUCUGUUGUCCCUCUGGCUUCUGAAAGAAAAACAAAGAGUAUGGAUUAGUAAAUUAGUUAAAAAGAGGAGAUAGGGGCCUAUAUAAAGAAAAACUAUACUCAACUUUCAAUGGGCUUCUUCUGUUAUCUGUCGUCCCUCUGGCUUCUGAAAGAAAAACAAAGAGUAUGGAUUAGUAAAUUAGUUAAAAAGAGGGGAUAGGGGCCUAUAUAAAGAAAACUAUACUCAACUUUCAAUGGGCUUCUUCUGUUAUCUGCUGUCCUCCAAUGGGGAUCCCUGCAUCUGAAAGAAAAACAAAAAGUAUGGAUUAGUGAAAUAGUUGCAAAGAGGGGGUAGUGGCCUAUAUAAAGAAAA
rnacentral:lncRNA from 1 species